rnacentral:rRNA from 1 species
AUUGAACGCUGGCGGCAGGCCUAACACAUGCAAGUCGAGCGAGCGGCGGACGGGUGAGUAAUGUAUGGGGACUGCCCGAUAGAGGGGGAUAACUACUGGAAACGAUAGCUAAUACCGCAUACUAUCGGAUAACCCAUAGGGGAUUGGCUAGUAGGUGAGGUAAUGGCUCACCUAGGCGACGAUACCUAGCUGGUCUGAGAGGAUGAUCAGGCACCCUGGGACUGAGACACGGCCCAGACUCCUACGGAGGCAGCAGUGGGGAAUAGUGCACAAUGGGCGCAAGCCUGAUGCAGCCAUGCCGCGUGUAUGAAGAAGGCCCUGGGGUUGUAAAGUACUUUCAGUCGGGAGGCGUUACCGACAGAAGAAGCACCGGCUAACUACGUGCCAGCCGCCGCGGUAAUUC